UACGGAGGAUGCAAGCGUUAUCCGGAUUCAUUGGGUUUAAAGGGUGCGUAGGCGGAAUUGUAAGUCAGAGGUGAAAUCCAGCAGCUUAACUGUUGAAUUGCCUUUGAUACUGCUGUUCUUGAAUGUAGUUGGCGUUGGCGGAAUGUGACAUGUAGCGGUGAAAUGCGUAGAUAUGUCACAGAACACCGAUCGCGAAGGCAGCUAACGAAACUAUCAUUGACGCUGAUGCACGAAAGCGUGGGGAGCAAACAGG
rnacentral:rRNA from 1 species